UACGUAGGGUGCAAGCGUUAAUCGGAAUUACUGGGCGUAAAGCGUGCGCAGGCGGUUUUGCAAGUCUGACGUGAAAUCCCCGGGCUCAACCUGGGAAUUGCGUUGGAGACUGCAAGGCUAGAAUCUGGCAGAGGGGGGUAGAAUUCCACGUGUAGCAGUGAAAUGCGUAGAGAUGUGGAGGAACACCGAUGGCGAAGGCAGCCCCCUGGGUCAAGAUUGACGCUCAUGCACGAAAGCGUGGGGAGCAAACAGG
rnacentral:rRNA from 1 species